UACGAAGGGGGCUAGCGUUGUUCGGAAUUACUGGGCGUAAAGCGCGCGCAGGCGGUCUUCCAAGUCAGUGGUGAAAGCCCGGGGCUCAACUCCGGAAUUGCCUUUAAGACUGCAUCGCUAGAAUUGUGGAGAGGUAAGUGGAAUUCCGAGUGUAGAGGUGAAAUUCGUAGAUAUUCGGAAGAACACCAGUGGCGAAGGCGACUUACUGGACACAUAUUGACGCUGAGGUGCGAAAGCGUGGGGAGCAAACAGG
rnacentral:rRNA from 1 species